rnacentral:rRNA from 1 species
UACGUAGGGGGGCUAGCGUUGUCCGGAAUUAUUGGGCGUAAAGAGCUCGUAGGCGGUUCGGCAAGUCGGAUGUGAAAUCUCCACGCUUAACGUGGAGGGGCCAUUCGAAACUGCCGUGACUCGAGUCCGGUAGGGGAGUGCGGAAUUCCCGGUGGUAGCGGUGAAAUGCGUAGAUAUCGGGAGGAACACCGGUGGCGAAGGCGGCAUCCUGGACCGACACUGACGCUGAGGCGCGAAAGCUAGGGGAGCAACGGG